CCCAUGAGGUAGUAUACACUAAAAUGCAAAUUUAGAGAAGCACCCAGACGGGUGCCGGGGCUUCUCCCGUUUUAAGAAAGACGGGAGAAGA
rnacentral:tRNA from 1 species